CUACUUAGCUGGCAGGGGAGAUACCAUGAUCAUGAAGGUGGCUAUCCUCCGGUAAGACUUAUCCAUUGCCCUCCAGAUGUGCUGACCGCUGCAAUUUCUGCAAACAGAAGAAACUUGCAUGUGUAAUUUGUGGUAGUGGAGAGCUAUUUUCAAGCUCUCCC